UCGGAAGCGGCAGCCAGAGCUGGUGUGGCGCGCGCUGGGCUCGUCUGCGGACUCUGAAUCAUGGCGACCACGGCCACGAUGGCGACCUCGGGCUCGGCGCGAAAGCGGCUGCUCAAAGAGGAAGACAUGACUAAAGUGGAGUUCGAGACCAGCGAGGAGGUGGAUGUGACUCCCACGUUCGACACCAUGGGCCUGCGGGAGGACCUACUGCGGGGCAUCUACGCUUACGGUUUUGAAAAACCAUCAGCAAUCCAGCAACGAGCAAUCAAGCAGAUCAUCAAAGGCAGAGAUGUCAUUGCACAGUCUCAGUCCGGCACAGGAAAAACAGCCACCUUUAGUAUCUCAGUCCUCCAGUGUUUGGAUAUUCAGGUAAUUUGCCAUUCUUAAAACAAACUGUUCUGUAAUUCUAGGAAAUACUUGCUUUCUCUUCUGUAACUACAGUGUUCAAAAAGUACA
rnacentral:sRNA from 1 species